rnacentral:rRNA from 1 species
UACGUAGGGUGCGAGCGUUAAUCGGAAUUACUGGGCGUAAAGCGUGCGCAGGCGGUUUUGUAAGUCAGAUGUGAAAGCCCCGGGCUUAACCUGGGAAUGGCAUUUGGGACUGCAAGGCUUGAGUGCGGCAGAGGAGACUGGAAUUCCUGGUGUAGCAGUGAAAUGCGUAGAUAUCAGGAGGAACACCGAUGGCGAAGGCAGGUCUCUGGGCUGACACUGACGCUCAUGCACGAAAGCGUGGGGAGCAAACAGG